GGGCUUUUCCUCAGGGUUGGGGCCGGGAGGGGAAGGGGCUGUUCCUCAGGAUUGGGGCCGGACGCGCAGGGGCUUUUCCUCAGGGUUGGGUUCGGACGCGCAGGGGCUUUUUCUGAGGGUUGUGUCCGGAGGGGAAGGGCUUUUCUUCCGGGUGGGGGCCUUUUCUGAGGCUUGGGGUGGAAGUGGAUGGGGCUUUUCGUCAGGGCUGGGGCUGGUGGGCUAGGGCUUUUUGUCAGGUUUGGGGCCGAAGGGGAAGGGGCGUUUCGUCAGGGUUGGGGCCGGACACGAAGGGCCUUUUCCUCAGGCCUGGGGUCUGAUGGGAGUGGGCUUCUUUUUAGGGUUGGGACUUUUCCUAAUGGUUGUGGCCAGAGGGGAAGGGGCUUUUCCUCAGGCUUCGGGCUUUUUCCGAGGGUUGGGAUCGGACGGGAAGGGGCUUUUCUGAAGGUUGUGUCCGGAGGGGAAGGGCUUUUCUUCAGGGUUGGGGCCUUUUCUGAGGCUUGGGGCUGAAGGGGAAGGGCUUUUCGUCAGGGUUGGGGCUGGUGGGGAAGGGCUUUUCCUCAGGGUUGAGGCCAGAGGGGAAGGGGCUUUUCCUCAGGGUUGGGUCCGGAGGGGUAGGCGCUAUUCCUCAGGGUUGCGGCCGGACGCGCAGGGGCUUUUCCUCAGGGUUGGGGCCGGACGCGCUGGCGCUUUUCCCCAGGUUUGGGGCCGGACGCGCCGGCGCUUUUCCUCCGGGUUGGGGCCGGACGCGCAGGAGCUUUUCCUCAGGGUUGGGGCCGGACGCGCAGGGGCUUUUCCUCAGGGUUAGGGUUUUUCCUCAGUGUCGCGGCGGGAGGGGAAGGGGUUUUUGUCAGGGUUCGGGCCGGAGUUGAAGGGGUUUUCCUGAGGUUUUUUGCAGGAGGGGAGGUGGCUUUUCUUCAGGGUUGGGGCUUUUUCUCAGGGUAGUGGCUGGAGGGGAAGGGGCUUUUUCUCAGGGUUGUGGCCGGAGGGGAAGGGGCCUUUUCUGAGGCUUGGGGCCGGAGGCGAAGGGGCUUUUCCUCAGGGAUUGGGACAGAGUGUAAGGGGCUUUUCGUCAGGGUUGUGGACGGAGGGGAACGGGCUAUUCAUCAGGGUUUGGGCCGGGAGGGGAAGGGGCUUUUCGUCAAGGUUGGUUUCGGGAGGGGAAGGGGUUUUCCUGAGGGUUGGGGUUUGGAGGGGAAGUGGCUCUUCCUCAGGGUUGGGGCUGAAAGGGAAGGGACAUUUCCUAAGCGAUGGGAGCAGAUGGGAAUGGGAUUUUCCUCAGGGUUGUAGGGUUGGGGCUGAAGGGGAAGGGGCGUUUCGUCUGGGUUGGGGCCGGACUCGAAGGGCCUUUUCCUCAGGCCUGGGGCCGGGUGGGACUGGGCUUCUUUUUAGGGUUGGGACUUUUCCUCAGGGUUGCGGCCAGAGGGGAAGGGGCUUUUCGUCAGGGUUGGGGCCGGACGCGCAGGGGCUUUUCCUCAGGGUUGGGGCUUUUUCUCAGAGUUGGGGUCGCAGUGGAAGGGGCUUUUUCUCAGAGUUGGGGUCGGAGGGGAAGGGGCUUUUUCUCAGGUUUGUGGCCGGAGGGGAAGGGGCCUUUU
ensembl:lncRNA